UUUGUUUGUUUGUUUUUGUUUUUUAGCUCAACUAAGCCAAUUUCAAGGUUCACAAACAAUCAAUACACAUUUGGUAGAGGAGGCAGAAGGACAGAGACAGCAGCAAACCUGAUGCAGAAGGGCAGACAGAAGCAGGGAAAUAGGGCAAGAUCUUCCCAAACCAGAUCUGCUGAAGAAAAAUAUGUCUAUCUUAGGGUUGCCAAGACAGUGAAGGAUCUAGAGGGGAAGAUGUAUGAGGAGCAACAAGAAGCUGUCUCAGGGGAGGUUCAGAUAGGAUAUUAAGAAAAGGUUCUUCACUAAGUGGGCAGUUGGGCACUGGAACAGGAUUCCCAAGGAAUUGGUCACAGCAUCAAGUCUCUCGGAGUUCAAGAAAUGAUUGGACACUUCUCUCAGGUUUGAUUUUUCAGUGGUCCUUUGCGGAGCCAGAAGUUGGACUCAAUGAUCCUUUGGCAUCUCUUCCAGCUCAGGAUACUCUAUGUUUCUAUGGCUCUAUUCUGAAACUAGUGUACCUCUGGAGUGUGCAGCAUAGGAUUGCACAAGCGAUGAGUAAGUUGAUGAUUAGUAGCAAACAAUACAUAAAAUGUGUUUAGCAUAAUGCAUGUACUAACCCACUGUUUUACAGUAUCUAAUACUAAACAUUUUAAUUUUUAAGAGUAAUUUCAAGAAAUAGGGUAUAUCUCAAAAAAAAAAAAAAAAAAAAAAAAAAGAAUCAACUAUCUAAUUAACAUUUUAUAGAUCAUUGUAAAAUAUGAUUAAUUUGGUUAGAUAGAGACCCAGACUUCAGGGUGGCAGAAAUAUGUGCUGUUACUGAUUUUACUCUGAGUAUUAGCGCAUCACAGUUGUGUUUGUGAGAUCUGGAUUCAAAGCAGCUACAGGUACUCAGAAGCAAGUGUUAGGUUUCACUGAAAGCAAGGAAGAGUAAAACAACUCAGUAGAAACAAAGUUUCACAUUGGCAGGAUGCUGCCAAUGAGCUGAUCGGAAGCACCCUGACUCUGAGAUAUAGUGAUUUUCCACUCCUAAAGCCUGAUGAACCAGGAAAUAUAAAAUUCUUUAAGAGAUUAUAGAUAUAUUUAGAGGACUUGAAUUUACUCCUGAAAUUAUUGUUAUUUGUAUUUUUAGAACAAUGACAAAGUGGAUAUGACUUUCCUGGUUAACAUAGGAAAUCCUACUACAAAUACUUGGACCGCUCUCAUGAGCCAGGUGAUCAAAAAGUUUGCAUACUAUACUGCUAGGCACAUUGCAAUAAUUCUGUUUUAUUCAAUUUCCAUUUACACAUACAUUACUUUAUAUAUAUAUAUAUAUACAUAUAUAUAUAGGAUAUAUAUAUAUAUCCAAAGGAAAAAUUUAAGCCAGUGUGAAUUCUUCAGAGAAACAAGGCAGAAAGACAGCACUCAAUAUAGCCAUAAAAACAUGGAUAUUAUAAUUCCACAAAAAAUGGGGACUUGAGUUACUUGCUGUAUAAAUUAGGUUUGGAAAUAAAUGAGCUACCUUUUAUUGUUUAGCUCUUCUGUGAUAAGUUUCCCUUCCACAUGGAUUGAAGAAACGUAUGAGACAUUCCUUUCCUUGUAAGGACAUAGAUAAAUAAUAAAUGACAGACAGCAUGAGUUUAACCACAGCUUUAGAUGUCAGAAUGAUUAAAUUUAUAGAUAAAGAAAAUGUGUUACAAGUAAUCUAUCUAAACCUUAAUAUUAAUUAUUUGACACAUAUAGGAAACUACUAGUUAAUCUGUAGAAAAUGGUGGUAAAAAACUCUAAUGAUAGAUUAGAGUUAGAUUAGUAGUUAGAACUACUUAAAGGGCACUUACCAAAGACAUUGCAAAAGAAAAAGGAACAUCUGGGCCGGAGGCUUCUUAUCUAAUAUUAAUGACUUCCCAUAAAAAAGCAGGAGGUGCUGUUUUUUUUUUGUUUGUUUGUUUUGUUUUGUUUUUUUGUUUGUUUGUUUGUGUUGUUUGUUUGUUUUGGUAACAGGAAGUUGGAAGCCAUCAGAUUGAAGGGCAAUAGAACAUCAACCAUGAAGAUGAACAAGAUGACCUUGAGGAUGAUGGUAUAUUUAAAGAGUUACAGAGGUGCUUCUGACUCGGUGAGAAUGGGUACCUGCAGAACCACCUUAGCUGCUCCCCUCUGAAAGAUGUUGCACAUUCCAGAACAUUAUCAGGCUCUGAGUCAUAUCUCCAUUUUCUAAGAAGUACCUGUAUCAGGAACAACCCUCAGGAAUAAAGGAAAGCUGUUCUGCGCUUCAGAGGUUGGAAAGUUAGCAGAGAUGAGUAUGAUGGAGGUCAUGGGCCUGACUGCUUUGCACCACUCGGCCAGGCCUGCAACCUGCCUGUGCUCCUGCAACUCACUAGCACAUGCACAAGGGUGUUUUUUUUAUUUGUUUGCUUGUUUUAUUUUUUUUUUUAAUGGAACUGUAAAAUAAGGUAUGAUUUUGAUGUAACUAAUAUAUAUGGUUCUGAAACUUAAAACUGUUAGUUGUUUUGUGUUGUGGCUGCUAGGGUGAAUUCAUUAAGUCUGAGACGAGGUGCUUAUUGUGCUUUAUGAACAAAUUAGUAAGGAAAGAAAUGGGAAAAGUAAUUAUUUAUGUUACCGUAAAGAAAAAUCUUUUAAAUAAAGAUUAAUGUUCAAAUUGUUUAAUAUUGUUGACAUGUAGUUCAAGCAUUCCCUUAUACACGAAUAAUAAAUGCCUAUUUCUUUGUAUAGCUUGUCAGCAUAUAUUGCUUUCUGAUGUUUAUGGUAAAACAUCAACACAAAACCUCAGUAUAUCAGGUCUCUUGUGUUUUAACCCAUUUAGUGGAUACGGUUCUAUCAAAGUAACACUGUACUAGGAAAAAUGCGCAGUAUCUUUUCCACUUGAUAAGACUACCCUUCAGGGAUCCUCAUGUAUUGAAACAGUUACGCAUGCCCCACAGGCUAUUUUAUUUUUUCCUCCUACUUCUAGACCCUCAUUUAUUUUUGUUUUUAACAGAAUUUAAAAUUAAAAUUUUUAGAACAGAUAAAACAGACAAGUGCUCACUGAUGCUUUUAGAAAAAUCCUUCUUUUGAAUGCAAAAGCUGUUGCAGUUCACGCUAUCCAUAGCAGAUCACACAGAAAAGUCUAACAAGCUUCUGUUGAAGCAGUGAGCUUUUUUUAUUAUUAUUAUUCCAGUCAGUCAACUGACAACAGCUCCAACCCAGUUAGAAAUCCUUUAAACUGCACUUCGGAAAUCACCAUCACAAUUGCUACUAAUUGGCACUUUUGU